GAUGAACGCUCUCUUCCUUCUUAAUACAUGCAAGUCGUGGGGCAGCAGGACUGUAGCAAUACAGUUGCUGGCGACCGGCAAACGGGUGCGGAACACGUACGCAACUUACCCUGAACUGGGGGAUAGCCCGGGGAAACCCGGAUUAAUACCCCGUAAUAUAAUGGAGUGGCAUCACUUUAUUAUUAAAGCUCCGGCGGUUCGGGAUGGGCGUGCGGCUGAUUAGGUAGUUGGUUGAGGUAACGGCUCACCAAGCCUACGAUCAGUAACUGGUGUGAGAGCACGACCAGUCACACGGGCACUGAGACACGGGCCCGACUCCUACGGGAGGCAGCAGUAAGGAAUAUUGGGCAAUGGAGGCAACUCUGACCCAGCCAUGCCGCGUGGAGGAUGAAGGCCCUCUGGGUUGUAAAAUUCUUUUAUAGGGGACGAAACCUGUGUAUUCUUACGCAGUUGACGGUACCCUAGGAAUAAGCACAGGCUAAAUCCGGG
rnacentral:rRNA from 1 species